AGGCGGGCGCGGCUGAGGUGAGCGGACCAUGGGAGGCGGGUUGACUGCGCCCAAGGUCUUUGCAGGCCUCGGCGGGCCCCGGAGGAAGGGAGACCGGGCGAGGGGUUUAAUGAGUGUUACGCGCGACAUGGCGGCGAAGCACAAGAACCCAGGCGCCCCAGCGUUUACAGGGAAGAGGGCGGGGCUAGUCGCGGCCUUGAUAACUACUAGAACGCCUCGGGCUGUGCGGCUCGAGACUACAUUUCCCAGGGGUCCCGGCGCAGAGCGGGCCGGAAAGAGAGCGCCUCCGGUCCAGUGCGCAGGUGCAGGAGCCGUAUCUGGCUAUAUAAAGGAGGUUCAGGCGCCCCUCGUUCUUUUGCGUCUGCGGUGCUAGCAGAGCGGUGGUUCUGUGGGUUGCAGCCACGCUUCAUACACCAUCGUCUUGCUCGUGGGUUCCCGUUUUGUGUGUGGUUUGCUGUUGGCCAAAACCAGGCUUUGAUUGGACCAGGAUGAAUCUGGUUGUGGGAAAUAGAGUAUAUAUGUAACUGGUAA